UUUACUAAUAGUUAGUCCUAUAAUUCCUCGUAACUAUAAUUGUUUAUAUUUGUAGGGUCUACUAACCCUUUGCCAAAAUUUUUAUUUGGUACAUAUGUUUUCUAACAUAUGGAGAUAGGUUCAUCUAGGGUACCUAUCUUAUACUUCGUGUCCAUCUCGCUCGUUAUAUUCCCAGGGUUUCUCAAAUCCUAAGGAUAUAACUAUCGCUCUGAUACCAAACUUGUAACGCCCCCAGAUCUGCAUCCCGCAAAUCUGGUCCGUCACUAAACAUCUGGCUCAAAACAACACUAGCAUUAUAUUAAUAUUAUACAAGUACAAUUCUCGCCCCACAAGUCCAGGGUCGAUCGUCCACAACACUACUACCAAGUCUAACUUUAUUACAUAAUAGUAAGUCUGAUUACAGACUAUUAUAAUAAUUGUAGUUGGCAUCACCAAACAGCGUUGCCUAGCAGCUUCAGCUCAUGUGAUGUGUCUUUUCCUUUUCCUUGCCAAAACCCGUUUUCGGGCGGUUCUCUUGAGUUGCGCCAUACUCACUCUUUACUGCUUAAAAGGAAUAAAGUAGAUGCAAGAAUGAGCAACUAAUUGCUCAGCAAGUCCACAUAGCACAACACAACAGUUAACAAGAUAUGCGAACAAAGCAUAUAAGACAGUUCAAGUCAAAGUAACAAAUCAGUUACCAUCAAAUGACAAUACAAUUUCCAAUAAAGAAAACGCUGGUCUUCCACCUUUCGGUAACACUACAUGGCUCGAUCAGCACCAUUUCGUGAAUACCGUUCUCCUGUGUAGUCCUCGUGGUCUGAUCGUAACCACUGAAGACACACCAACACUCUCUUUGCUAGCAUCAGGGUUUAACACUGGAACCCUUCUAUCUGCCUUACCAGAUAGUAAAUUUCAACUCUACCACGAAUUUAAUAAAUUCGUGUUGACCAGCUUGAACAGAUUCCUCCGAAUACAAAGAAAUUUUCCCAAACAAACAUUCCUCAAUCAUCACUACUCAUCUCUAUCAAAGAAGUGCGAACAAUGCACCCUUUCGUCAUAACAAAGAUUACCCGAAGGUAAAAGUGAAUGAUAAUUAAAAGAACUAGAUUUCAAAGGAUACGGUGAUCUCCAAAAGGAGUAAAUUGAGACCAUCGCUGCAAUGUAUUCACAUCAAGUUUCGAAGAUUCAAAAUUAUUAUCAUUAUAGGAUCAGCUUAUUCCCGAACAAUGGGAUGGCUCGAAUUAUAGAAAGUAAUAUACGAAUAAUACUUUUAAAGCCUUCAAAUGAAAUUUAGAUAUUUUCUCAAUACACAAUGGUAUGAAAUACAAUAUCUUCACAAUCAACACUUUUUACAAAAUUAUUAAAUAGGCGAAAACUUCACGUCAAGAAAGGGAUAGUGAACUUGCCUCGGGUCCUUAGCUUGAAAUAUUUCCUCAAUUUAAUACUUAUAAAUCAGCUCCGCCUUUCCAAUAUUAAAUUCUAAAGCAUAUCAACAAGAAUAGCUUAGUCUUCCCGAAUUAAGAAUCUCGUAAUAAUUAAUUAUUACUAAUAGUAAAACAAGAAUUUGGGUGACCUCCAUCUAAAUAUAUUUAGUUUCUUUGUUCUUAUUAUUGUCUGAUAUCCCGACUUCCUUUUAUUUAUCGAUUAAUCUAAUAUUUCCUUUACAACUUAAUACUCAAAUAAUUUUUUUAUUAAAUCCAACUUCUUUAUUUAUAAGUCUCUGAUUAUGAAAUUAAUUUCUUUUUAUAACAUAAUCAUCAAAUCACCUUUCUUUAAUAUUUAUCAAAGUCUUUAACUAAAACAUUUCUCAAAUUAAGUCACAUAUUUAUUUAUAUCCAAAAUUAUUAUUAAUUUAACGGCACUAUAAUAAUAAUUUUCUAGACCACAACCUUACAAUAACCACCAUAAAUUGUCCAAACUUUAUUUCAAACAAAUCUUGAAUUCUUAUUUAUUUUAUCUUUAAAAGCCAACACUCUCAAUUCCCUUUUUUAUUAUUUCUUCAUAUUCUCAAUUAUAAAAUGACCAAACUGCCCUCCUACCACCUCCAUCUUUCUCCCUCAUCUCCCUCACCUGCUCCUUGGCUUGUCGGAGCACGGCUCCGGCGACCUAUCGCCGCCGUCCCCUCCCCCCCUCUCUCUCUCUCUGAGCUCUGUCACGGCGACAAGUCCACCGUUUCUCCUUCUGAACCACCACACACUUCCCAUCAUCCCUCUUCCCUUUUCCAGCCCCGUCGCGAAGCUCCGUUGGCAGUGCCGACGGAAGCUCCGCCUCCCUUUUUGUCCCGACCAGCCUUUCCUCUCCUUUAAACAAACCAAACCCAAUCUUUAAUAUAAUCCAAUCAAUCAGCACAACCAAGAGAAAACACCUAAAUUCACAUAAGAACCCUAGCCCUUAAUUUGUAUAAAUGAUAGUGAGAAAGCACAAGCCUUCUACUUAUAUACGGUUGAGGUUUUUGUUUGAAUAAUAAUAAAACUUCACUUCAUUAUUUAGAAAUAGAAAGAAUACAAAUCUUCCACCAAAGCAAAUCUUAAUUUAAGUGUAAAGUUUCCACCAAAGCAAGCAUACAAAUCUUAAUCUAAGACAGGUGCUAAGCUAAAGGACAAUUACCUUUUAUUAUAGUGCUCUAAAACGUCCAAAACUUCUCCGUUCCAAAUUAGCUCACUGAUUUACUAUCCUGUUUGCCUAACUUUCUCUCUUUUCUUUUAUG
rnacentral:lncRNA from 1 species